rnacentral:rRNA from 1 species
UACGUAGGGGCCUAGCGUUGUCCGGAAUUAUUGGGCGUAAAGAGCUCGUAGGUGGUUCGGCAAGUCGGAUGUGAAAUCUCCACGCUUAACGUGGAGGGGCCAUUCGAAACUGCUGUGACUUGAGUCCGGUAGGGGAGUGUGGAAUUCCCGGUGUAGCGGUGAAAUUCGUAGAUAUCGGGAGGAACACCGGUGGCGAAGGCGGAUCUCUGGGCCAUUACUGACGCUGAGGAGCGAAAGCGUGGGGAGCGAACAGG